rnacentral:rRNA from 1 species
AUUGAACGCUGGCGGCAGGCCUAACACAUGCAAGUCGAACGAGUGGCGGACGGGUGAGUAAUGUCUGGGAAACUGCCUGAUGGAGGGGGAUAACUACUGGAAACGGUAGCUAAUACCGCAUACCAUCGGAUGUGCCCACAUGGGAUUAGCUAGUUGGUGGGGUAAAGGCUCACCUAGGCGACGAUCCCUAGCUGGUCUGAGAGGAUGACCAGCCACACUGGGACUGAGAAACGGUCCAGACUCCGACGGGAGGCAGCAGUGGGGAAUAUUGCGCAAUGGGCGCAAGCCUGAUGCAGCCAUGCCGCGUGAAUGAAGAAGGCCUUCGGGUUGUAAAGUACUUUCGGCGGGGAGGCGUUACCCGCAGAAGAAGCACCGGCUAACUCCGUGCCAGCAGCCGCGGUAAUUC